GAAACAGGAAGCAGCUUUUUGUGCUGCUUCAAGAGUCCUUCCUCUAAGGCCCGGGGCCUGAAGGCAGUUUACAAAGGAGGACAGCUGAGAUUCAGAGAGGUUUACUAACUUGCUGAAGAUUACACAGCUCCAAAAUGGUAGAGGAAGGACUCAACUUGAAGGCCUCAGGAUCCUAAUGUCUCAGCCUUCUGGUGAACACAAGCCCAUCAGAACAGAGCUGGGCCUUCACUAGUCUGGACGAUCAGCUGCUCAGAGCCUUGCAUACAGUGGGAGGCUGAGGAAUGUUCUUUCUAGAAGAAUGUGAUGCCUCGUGCAAAGCUGGUGCUCAAAAUAUAUGAUUAUGGAUGGAUAGGUCAACAAAGACAUAAACAGCAACAACCCUGGCUGCUCGGCCCUUUUGCUCUCGUCAUUGGCUUCUUUUUCCAGAGCAUGCAUCUUCUAAUAGGUCUAACCCCAACAGUGAUCAAAUGGGACCUCUGUUCUAUUCCUUUCUUAACUGUAAUCAUGAGUUUCACACGGCUGUCAUUUUACUGCCUGCUAGGAAAAGGGAAUAUGUUUGAAUUUUAUAAGUUUCUGAAUUUCAUAAUUUUUUUAUUUUUAGAGGUGCUCCAGGCUGACUCCAUACCUCCCACUGAAUGACAAUUGUUCUAAAGGUAGACAUUCUUAUUUCAUCAUCAAGAAAAGCACUCUGUAGUGAACAAGGGCACUCACGCAAUUGGAUUCAUGGAGAGAUGUUUGUUUUUCUCCCACUUGUUUACUGUUGCUGGUGUUAGAUCAAGUCUGGCCUUUACUAUUCCAUUAAAAAAUGACCAUUUGUGAUUAGAUAUUUACAAAAAUAUAUUCAGAAUGAUAUAUUUCAGAUAUUACAUUUUUUCUAACAGUUCGUUUUAGUUUUGAAUAGAAGCCUUAAAAUACUUGGCCAGGUGCGGUGGCUCACGCCUGUAAUCCCAGCACUUUGGGAGGCCGAGGCAGGCGGAUCAUGAGGUCAGGAGAUCAAGACCAUCCUGGCUAACACGGUGAAACCCUGUCUCUACUAAAAAUACAAAAAAUUAGUCGAGCGUGAUGGCGAGUGCCUGCAGUCCCAGCUACUCGGGAGGCUGAGGCAGGAGAAUGGCAUGAACCCGGGAGGAGGAGGCUGCAGUGAGGCGAGAUCGCACCACAGCACUCCAGCCUGGGUGACACAGUGAGACUCCAUUUCAUAAAUAAAUAAAUAAAUAAAUAAUUGGAAAAGUAAGAGUUAAAAAUAAAUCAUGGAAAAUCA